UUGCUAUGAUGAGAAAAUAUAUAUAUUGAAAGCAUUUUUUGUGCUUAAUGAGUCAGUCGACUUAAUGUCGAUCUGAGCGGUUAACUGAGCAA